rnacentral:lncRNA from 12 species
ACUCAGUUUCAAUUGGUUUGUAAUAUCUGUUAAUGAUCUUUGGAAAAAUUUCUGAUAACAUGCUGGAAUUCCCUCAGGGGCAGGGUUGUGAAUAAGUGGAUUUUUUUAAGUUUGAGAUGUCAUUAGCUAGUGAUUUCUUUGAAGUAAAAAGCUGUUACAGAAUAAAUUGCAGAGGUAUACAAGUGAACAGGACAAUCAUUUUUAUGAAUAAUAUACAUUAUUUCCACUGUGCUUUCUGCCCUCCAAAGAAAUAAUUUACAAUCUACCUUGCCAUUACAAACAUCCUGGAAUAGCAACUGCAUGAGCAUUUUGUGCUUACUUUAUGUGUAUUUUGUGACUUUACAGAAAAUACAUCUUGGUGGCAUAAAAUCACUAGUGUAAGGAGGUGAUUUGCCUAUUUUAAUUAUUUUUGUUUUCUUUUUCCCCCAGUAGCUAACUUUUUCAACCCACAAGGCUGAAACAACUUCCUUUAACUGAAAUGACCCCAGCACAGCUAUUCACCAGAAGACACCCUCCUUGAUUUCUUGGUGGGCCUGUAAGAUGACUGAAGUUGUAGAACAGCAAAGACUUGGAACAGACAUUGAGGUCCUAUCGCUUCUGUUGGAAACUUCUGUUGACUGCAGUGUGAGUUGGAUGGGACCCAGAGAAACCAAAUACAGACAAGUGACGAUGAGCUGGCCAUACAAGCAAGGAAAAUCACAGAUAACAGAUCUGGUGUAGAGCUGAUCACCCUUAGUGUCUUGUCACCAAAAGCCCUUCCUGACGUGUCCAGGGGAAAUCUGCAAGCAUUCUGAACAGGCACACAGGUAAAGUAUCCUGCUUGAACCACUUCCUUUGUGCCACUUUAUUGACUCACAAAACACUAUUAAAACAGGUAACCUAGGAGUUAAAAAAAAAACAAGCACAUGGCAUCUUGAAUUUUUUUUUUUUUUUAAAUUUCUCAUAAUGUAAAAAGACAGAGUAGAACAGAUAAAAAAUCUUUGAUGCUGUUGAGAUUUUCUAACUCUUGGUCAUGAACAUAACAGACUAAAAUUAUGGAAGACAUAAUCUUCCAUAACUACAUCUGAGUGCCAGGAGAGUACAUUGUAGAAAGUAAUUAUAUACAUAGUCACAAGCCUAGCUGUUCAUUUCAGGCAAUAAAUUCUGAUCUACAAACUACAACACUGCUUUUGUGCUAGAUGAGAUCUUGGUUGUAAUUGACUGUGUGUUCUGUUGGAUUGGAGGAAUAUAAUUUUAAUCUGCUCUCUUUAAAUUUUCAUUAAGGAAUGUUUCAGCUACCUGCAGCCUCAUCCGAUGAUGGUUAAUCAUCUCACCUAGCUUGAUCUUCUGUGCACCAGCAGGGACUUCUUUAAAUUGGUCAACUGUAUAGAACAUUGUUUUCAAGCUUAAUGUGCUUGUAAUUAACCUUAUAAAAUAAUGGCCUAACUAAAGGCAGGUUAUAUGCAUAGCACAG